GACGAACGCUGGCGGCGUGCCUAAUACAUGCAAGUAGAACGCAGUUGCGAACGGGUGAGUAACGCGUAGGUAACUGCCUCAUAGCGGGGGAUAACUAUUGGAAACGAUAGCUAAUACCGCAUACUGUGAGAUGGACUUGCGUUGGAUUAGCUUGUUGGUGAGGUAAAGGCUUACCAAGGUGACGAUACAUUGCCGGACUGAGAGGGUGAACGGGCACACUGGGACUGAGACACUGCCCAGACUCCUACGGGAGGCAACAGUUGGGAAUCUUCGGCAAUGGACGGAAGUCUGACCAGGCAACGGCGCGUGAAUGAAGGAGGUUUUCGGGUCGGAAAGCUCUGUUGUUAGAAGAGCGGUAACUAACCAGAAAGGGACGGCUAACUACGUGCCAGCAGCCGCGGUAAUAC
rnacentral:rRNA from 1 species